CAGCGGCGCACGGGUGAGUAACACGUAGGUAACCUACCUUUGAGACUGGGAUAACCUGUCGAAAGACGGGCUAAUACUAGAUAAGACCACCGGGGUUGCGGCCUCGGCGGUAAAAGAUGGCCUCUGCUCACUCGAAGAUGGGCCUGCGCGCCAUUAGCUAGUUGGCGGGGUAAAAGCCCACCAAGGCAAAGAUGGCUAGCUGGUCUGAGAGGAUGGCCGGCCACACUGGAACUGAGACACGGUCCAGACUCCUACGGGAGGCAGCAGUGGGGAAUAUUGCGCAAUGGGCGAAAGCCUGACGCAGCGACGCCGCGUGGGGGAUGAAGCUUUUCGGAGUGUAAACCCCUUUCGACCCGGACGAAUGACCCGCAAGGGUUUGACGGUACGGGUAUAAGAAGCCCCGGCUAACUACGUGCCAGCAGCCGCGGUAAUACGUAGGGGGCCAGCGUUGCUCGGAAUUACUGGGCGUAAAGGGUUCGUAGGUGGUGCGGCAAGUUGGGAGUGAAAUCUCUGGGCUUAACUCAGAGGCUGCUUUCAAAACUGCCGCGCUCGAGUGCGAGAGAGGUCAGUGGAAUUGCAGGUGUAGCGGUGAAAUGCGUAGAUAUCUGCAGGAACACCCGUGGCGAAGGCGGCUGACUGGAUCGCAAC
rnacentral:rRNA from 1 species